ensembl:lncRNA
CCUGGUGCUGGAGGAAAAAGGCUUCAUCAACGUGUCCAUUUAAUCAGGUAGUCUGCAGUUGACACCAACACAAGAUUCCCUUUGUUGUCUCUGUUUUUAACUCUGACCCAGGGGUUUUUGAUCAUGACUGUUCUUCAGGGACAGUUCUUCACACUCUGUCCCUUUAUAUAGGGGGUAACACCUUAUCCCCUCCUUCCUUGCCUGCACAGAUUCCUUGAUGAAUUCGUACAGUCUGGUACUGAUGAUUUCUUUGUCCUUCAUGUUCCUGGAAAUAUUUUCCAAACUUAGCUCUUCUAUUUCCUUUACUGGGAUCAAGGUGGCUUGCAGUCCCCUGGGUCUUCCUUCAUUCCCUUCUAGAAAAAAGGAGUCAUAUUUUCUUUCCUCCAGUCUUCAGGUACUAUUCUCAAUUGCCACAGUCAAGCAAAGAUUUUUGAGAGAGGUCUAAUAAUCACAUCUGCCAACUCCUUCAGCAGUCCUAGGUGCCUUCCAUCAGGGCCUGAUGGAAAAAAAAAAAAAAAAAAAAAAAAAAAAAAAAAAAAAAAAAAAAAAAAAAAAAGUAAAAAAAAAAAAAAAAAAAAAAAAAAAAAAAAAAAAAAAAAAAAAAAAAAAAAAAAAAAAAAAACCCUUCCCUCUAACACCUAAUUUAAAUUUCCCCUCUUUUAGUUUAAAAUCAUUCCUAUUGCUCUCUACCCUUGUAGAGAAUUUAUUUCCCUCAAAAACAAAUGUUUUGUCUCAAGUUGUUUUUGAGCAUUACUGAUUGCAGAAACUUUGGGAGUAGAAAUGGAUGCUUGAUGAACAUUUGAUCAGAGCUUUUAUGUCAUUGUAUAUCUCUGCAGUUCAAAAUAUUUUCUCAUUGAAUAUGGAACUGAUUGGAAGACACAUGCUGUCACAAUAAGUAUAAAUAUUACCUUUAAUUUUAAAACUACAUACCGUGUCAUUUAGUAAGAGCCAGGUGAAGAUACUGAAUAAAAGGCUAAUCUGUUAGGUUGCUAAGAGUAGUUGAGCACGAACAAUGGGAACGAUAUGGGGCCAUUAGUUAGGGGUGGGGUUUGGGGCGAAGAAUAGGUGUGGAAUAUUGCACUGGUGUCCACAGUUUACGGGUUGGUCCGGCCCGGUUUCGUGACUAGUGGGGCAGAGGGAUUUCUUUUCCAAAAUCCGCACCUCCGGAAAAGGGAAACAGGGGACCCCCCC